GGUUUCAUUGCCCAGUUGGUAGAGCAUCGCACCGGUAACGCGGAGGUAAUGGCUUCAAAUCUCGUUGGAGCCU